ensembl:snRNA U6 U6 spliceosomal RNA
GUGCUCACUUUGGCAGCACAUAUGCUAACACUGGAACAGUACAGUGACCAGCAUGGCCCCUGUGCAAGAAAGAAGUGUAAAUUCAUGAAGUGCCCCCCCACCCCCUUUUA